UCCACAGCUCUUCAAAUAAGCAAUGUGAUGUUAGCAAAAGUGCAGGGGCUCCUUGAGAACUUUCCAGGGCUAACCAGCUGCUGAGGAGUGGCCUCCAGGAAAGAGAGAAGCACUCUGAUUCAGGCAGUGAUUUACACCUAAAAUACCAACUCCGUCAUAUCUUCAGAACAAUUCUUCUAGACCUUGCAUCUAAAUAUGGAGUCGUUAACUAUCAACGAACAAAACCUCUGGAUGGCCGAAGGACCUAGGCUAUACAGAAAGCUGUGAAUUACCAAUGAGAACGCAGAUUAGAUCAAAGAUGUCCCUAAGAAGCAUUGAGAUGUCACAAAGUUCUAGGAGUGGCAUGAUAAAGUAAGCAGAACAGCGCAGUGGGCAUCAGAAUGCAUUCCAUUUCCAGACCUAUCUCUUACCAUCUGGAUAUCUCACUCUCAGGAAGAUCAAGUGACAAACCUGGAUUAGUCCAUUUUCACACUGCUACAAGGAACUACCUGAGACUGGGUAGUUUAUGAAGAAAAGAGGUUUAAUUGAUUCAUAGUUCUGCAGCCUUAACAGGAAGCAUGACUCGGGGGUCUCAGGAAACUUAUACAAUCAUAGCAGAAAGUGAAGGGGAAGCAAGGUAUGUCUUCUCAUGGUAGCAGGGGAGAGAGAGAGCAAAGGGGGAACUGGCACACAGUUUUAACCAUCAUAUCUGGUGAGAACUCAUUCACUAUCACAAAAACAGCGUAGGGCAAACCACCUUCAUGAUCUAGUUACCUCCUACCAGGUCCCUUCCCUGACAUGUGGGGAUUACGAUUUGAUGUGAGAUUUUGGUAGGGACACAGCCAAACCAGAUUAAAACCCAGACUCUCAAUCUCCAUCUCUGACUUCCUCCAUCUGCUGCUUCCUCCUUCUUCUUUCCAUCCCAUAGCUAUGAGAAAUCAGGUGGGUGCUCUUCUAUUCAUCUCAUGAACUACUGGACAUGUUUACAUUUGGGGAACUUAAAAAAUAAAAUAAAAAUGAACCAGAUAGCUGUUGGCUGUUGUCUUUUUGUGAAGAAUAAUUUUAGGGAUCAAAAGACAAAAAGAAAAACAUUCUUUGUAUCAGAGAAUAGCAUUAUGAUCUCCACACAUAGUGCCAGCUCUUUUAACUUUUAAGGUCAAAUUUCCUAGUUUUCCAAAUGUCCACUGAUUCCCUUUAAACAAAACCCUGCCUGGGCAAAA